GUCUACCUGGUACUGGAAGAAGAGUCAUGAGAAAGGGUACUGGGAAGGUUCCCAGUGAUCUUUCCUAAGUGUUUCCAGCCCAGCGCAAGAGUUGUGAGCGUGGGUCCAAGGCACGAUUCUGGUCUUUGUUAGACGCAGUUCUCACCUUUACACGGAUGGUGUUCAAGUUUUCUCCAGGCCAAGGUGUGGGGGUAAAUGGGACCUGUUACUCCAUCUUGGCUGAGGGCAGAUCUCUAGCAGCUCACUUCUCACCGUGCU